AUUGAUGAGUUGGUGCUCGAUCUGAGAAACAGUGGAGAGCCGCUCUCCACAUUUAACCAUCCCCAAAUGGUGCCAGUCGUCUAAAGACAUGCCUGAACAAGUGACAGUGUUUGACAGACCUUAUAUCUCCUUUCUAUCACACCAAAAUCUCUGUAGUGAGCUCAGGCAAUGUUUUGACCUGCUGGUGUGCUGAUGCACUUCAGGAUAAAAAGAAUUGGUCCACAUUGUAGCAAUAACUUCCAGGAAGAAACGAGUGACAGUGAGACCUCACAGACAAAGCCCUCCAGAAUUUCCAAGAGGCAUUUUUCAGCACGGAACGAUGCCAAAAGACAUCAUGAAGUUGUGUCUGGAGAGCAAAGCAGUAAGAUUGGACCAGAUUAUCUCUACAAUUUCUUCCAGUGCAAACACUCUGUGAAUGAAGGCACUUGCCUUCUC
rnacentral:lncRNA from 10 species